GAUCUGCUGUUCCUCAUGGCGGGUUCUGGUGGCCGAGAGGAACGCGGUGUGCGAGCUGCCCCGCCUUGGGCGGCCUCGGGGACCGACCUGCGCCGGGACUGCGGCUGUGCUGAGGGUGCUCGGUUUGGCCGCCGAGGGUCCAAGUCGGUCUUAAGUUCAGCGUGGCUCCGUGCGAGUGCCGCCUUCAGGAGAUUCUGCCCUUUACAGGCGAUCGGUUUCGCAGAAAGGCUGGCGCCGAAACGUGUCAAACUUCUUGACCACACUGAAGAACAAUGGAAGUGACCGACAAAUCAUGGCACUCUUAAAAAACGUUUUGCCUUUUCUUCUCAUAACCCAGCCUCACUAAGCAGUCGGUUGUGUUGGCUUAUCAACAGUGUUUUGAUGUGGAUUAGCAAAACCUUAAGGAAUGUCAGACCACAGCCUUAACAUAACUUUGUUGUGUGAAAGGCUGUGUCCAGUUUCCCUGGGAUUCCCCGUGUGGGCGCUGUUUGUACGUUCUUGUUCUGUCAGUGGCGUCGAGAGCUGGGAAUGCCGUGCUCCUCACGGCAACAGCAGGAUAGUGGGUCUGCUCCCACAGCUCAUGUCUGAAUGACACAGGUGUGGAAAGGAAAGGCGCUAGCCGCAGUGCUUUUAGCCUCCCUCUCCCGUCACCGCUGCCUGCUGCAGAGCUACGCUGCUGGGAAACCUCGGGGUAAGGUUGAAACACAGUUACUUGUAGCAGCAAUAACACUGAAGUCUGAUUUUGGAGAUCUUUAUGAUGCACUGCAAGAGCACAGCUACUGAAGGUUUAUGAGUCCAAUUCUUUCUUUCUCCUUAAUGUUUGUUUGUAUGCUGUGAAGAAAAACAAAUCCUUAAUAUGCAGACAGGCAGAGAGGUGGUUUAUUUCUUACGUGGUCUUUUUGCAUGUAAUGCUGUAACAAACCAGCCUCAAGGCUGGCAACGCAAGCAGACAAAGGAGAGCAUUUCCCAGAGAAAAGAAAAGCAGGAUUGUUUGCCCAGUUGUAUGUUACACCAGCCCUCCCUCUUGCUUUCCUGCUGUUACUUUUACAUAUCUUCCCUAGUUGUCUGCGGCUAGUGUAAAACAAAUUAUCUUCAGAUUAUUCUUAUCACACGACAGGGUUCACAUAAACCACAAAAGCGUGGGGAAAGAAGAAAAAUUCAAGGGGGGAGGAGAAUGAUUUUACUGAACAUUACAAUAGAGGAAUAAUAAGAAAAAAGUUCCCCUGGUAUUGUACUCAUAUGCUGCAAGCUUAUUUAAUAAUAUGGGUAAUAAACAGCAGGAACUAAAAGUCAUUGUAUUCAUAACCAAAAUUAUGAAUAAAUUGUCAUAACUGGU